UAGGGAAUCUUCCACAAUGGACGCAAGUCUGAUGGAGCAACGCCGCGUGAGUGAAGAAGGUUUUCGGAUCGUAAAGCUCUGUUGUUGGUGAAGAAGGAUAGAGGCAGUAACUGUCGCAUCGACGGAAUCA
rnacentral:rRNA from 1 species